rnacentral:lncRNA from 1 species
UGCGCGACUGACAUACAGAUCAUAUAAUAUUUCCAUACACCAAAUAUAGUUGACUUAUAGCAUAUAGUAUUAGAUAAAAAGACCAAAACUCAAAAACUUAACUUUGACCACUCAACCAUGAAAAUGAGGUCAAGGUCAGAUGACAUCUGCACGCUAGACAUGUACACCUUACAAUCAUUCCAUACAACAAAUAUAGUAGAUCUAUUGUGUAAAGUAUGAGAAAAAGAGACCAAAAC